rnacentral:rRNA from 1 species
CCUACGGGUGGCAGCAGUGGGGAAUAUUGGGCAUUGGGCGCAAGCCUGACCCAGCAACGCCGCGUGAAGGAAGAAGGCUUUCGGGUUGUAACCUUCUUUUGCCUGGGAAGAGUAGAAGACGGUACCUGUCGAAUAAGGCACGGCUAACUACGUGCCAGCAGCCGCGGUAAUACGUAGGUGGCAAGCGUUGUCCGGAUUUACUGGGUGUAAAGGGCGUGUAGCCGGGUUGACAAGUCAGAUGUGAAAGCCUGCGGCUUAACCGCAGAACUGCCGUUGGAACUGUUGAUCUUGAGUACUGGAGAGGCAGACGGAAUUCCUAGUGUAGCGGGGAAAUGCGUAGAUAUUAGGAGGAACACCAGGGGCGAAGGCGGUCUGCUGGACAGCAACUGACGGUGAGGCGCGAAAGCGUGGGGAGCAAACAGGAUUAGAUACCCGGGUAGAC